AUUGAACGCUGGCGGCAUGCCUUACACAUGCAAGUCGAACGGCAGCACGGGAGCAAUCCUGGUGGCGAGUGGCGAACGGGUGAGUAAAGUAUCGGAACGUGCCCAGUCGUGGGGGAUGACGUAGCGAAAGUUACGCCAAUACCGCAUACGAUCUAUGGAUGAAAGCGGGGGAUCGCAAGACCUCGCGCGAUUGGAGCGGCCGAUAUCAGAUUAGGUAGUUGGUGGGGUAAAGGCUCACCAAGCCGACGAUCUGUAGCUGGUCUGAGAGGACGACCAGCCACACUGGGACUGAGACACGGCCCAGACUCCUACGGGAGGCAGCAGUGGGGAAUCUUGGACAAUGGGCGAAAGCCUGAUCCAGCCAUGCCGCGUGCAGGAUGAAGGCCUUCGGGUUGUAAACUGCUUUUGUACGGAACGAAAAGGUUUGGCCUAAUAAGCUGAGCUCAUGACGGUACCGUAAGAAUAAGCACCGGCUAACUACGUGCCAGCCGCCGCUGUAA
rnacentral:rRNA from 1 species